rnacentral:rRNA from 1 species
GAUGAACGCUGGCGGCGUGCCUAAUACAUGCCAGUCGAGCGAACAGACGAGGAGCUUGCUCCUCUGACGUUAGCGGCGGACGGGUGAGUAACACGUGGAUAACCUACCUAUAAGACUGGGAUAACUUCGGGAAACCGGAGCUAAUACCGGAUAAUAUAUUGAACCGCAUGGUUCAAUAGUGAAAGACGGUUUUGCUGUCACUUAUAGAUGGAUCCGCGCCGCAUUAGCUAGUUGGUAAGGUAACGGCUUACCAAGGCAACGAUGCGUAGCCGACCUGAGAGGGUGAUCGGCCACACUGGAACUGAGACACGGUCCAGACUCCUACGGGAGGCAGCAGUAGGGAAUCUUCCGCAAUGGGCGAAAGCUUGACGGAGCAACGCCGCGUGAGUGAUGAAGGUCUUCGGAUCGUAAAACUCUGUUAUUAGGGAAGAACAAAUGAGUAAGUAACUAUGCACGUCUUGACGGUACCUAAUCAGAAAGCCACGGCUAACUACGUG